GACCGCGCACAACGGCUUCCUGGCGUGCGUGGAAAAAUUCAAUGGAGCA
rfam:Palleronia marisminoris strain CECT 7066 genome assembly, contig: 0002